UACAGAGGUCUCGAGCGUUAGGCGGAAUCACUGGGCUUAAAGCGUGUGUAGGCGGGUCGUUAAGUACCUUGUGAAAUCCCAUGGCUCAACCAUGGAACUGCUUGGUAUACUGGCGAUCUUGUGCAACCUAGGGGCGAGCGGAACAGAUGGUGGAGCGGUGAAAUGCGUAGAUAUCAUCUGGAACGCCAAUGGUGAAAACAGCUCGCUGGGGGUUUGCAGACGCUGAGACACGAAAGCCAGGGGAGCGAA
rnacentral:rRNA from 1 species